rnacentral:lncRNA from 1 species
GUCGCCGGAAAUGCCGCGAAUCUCGUCGCCGACUUUCGUGAUGGCGCGCGCGCUGUACGCGCCUCUUGCCCAGUUGUUCCCGCCUUGAGUACGUUUGAGGUAGCCCUGUUUGCCGUCCGUCGUCAUGCCCUGCGAAAGUCCGACCCACUCGAUGAGAUCCAAGUCGUUCGCACCCUCGUGGACAGUCUGUAUCCAGGAGACUCGAGAGAAAGACGCGCCUGCAGUGUUGAAGCGCGCGGUGGCGUAGAGCGGGAAGGCAGGCGCCUCAUCAGACGUCGCAAACGCCGCGCCAUCCUUGUAGUACGUGACGACGCCCGAGUCGAGCACGACCACUUGGAACGUCUCACCGACGAAGUAAUCGCCAAAGUCGCCGUCGCGCACGACGCCGUGUUCGGAGAUGCGGAUCACGCCGUUGUCGCACACAAUGCCGAAGUCGACCACCUCGUCGACGGAGUUCGUCGAGCCAGAGUUCAAGCCAAUCAUCAUGGACUUGUCCGUUUGGUCGCAAUCCGCGGAGACGCCACGCACUUCGUCGCCGAUCUUCGUGAUGGCACGUUUGCUCGUGGCGCCGACGUUCCAGCCACUGCCUGCCAUUGUGCGCGUCACUUGGCCCGCGGAAGACUCGACGCCUUCCGCGUCUUCAAACUCCAUGGCCGCCAAGUCGUUCGCGCCCUUGACAACCUUGUGAACCCAGCGCGCGUUGGCCAGCUCUGCGAGGUGGUUGUGAAACGACGUGUCCGCGUAGAGCGGGAAAGAAGGCGACGUCAAGCUCGUGUACUUGAGAUCGCCGUCGACGUAGAACUCAAUCGCGCCCGCGUCGUUCACGAUCACUUGGAAAGUCUCACCCGCGACGAAGACGCCGGCAUCGAACUUGUUCACGCCCUUCUCUUGGAAUCGGACCUGAUUGCCGUUGCAGAACACGGCGUAGUCGAUGGUCGUUUGGCUGUGGCCCGAGGGCGUGCUCGACAAGCCAAACUGCAAGUGCCUGUUGUCGGUGCGCAUGCAGUCGCCGGAAAUGCCGCGAAUCUCGUCGCCGACUUUCGUGAUGGCGCGCGCGCUGUACGCGCCUCUUGCCCAGUUGUUCCCGCCUUGAGUACGUUUGAGGUAGCCCUGUUUGCCGUCCGUCGUCAUGCCCUGCGAAAGUCCGACCCACUCGAUGAGAUCCAAGUCGUUCGCACCCUCGUGGACAGUCUGUAUCCAGGAGACUCGAGAGAAAGACGCGCCUGCAGUGUUGAAGCGCGCGGUGGCGUAGAGCGGGAAGGCAGGCGCCUCAUCAGACGUCGCAAACGCCGCGCCAUCCUUGUAGUACGUGACGACGCCCGAGUCGAGCACGACCACUUGGAACGUCUCACCGACGAAGUAAUCGCCAAAGUCGCCGUCGCGCACGACGCCGUGUUCGGAGAUGCGGAUCACGCCGUUGUCGCACACAAUGCCGAAGUCGACCACCUCGUCGACGGAGUUCGUCGAGCCAGAGUUCAAGCCAAUCAUCAUGGACUUGUCCGUUUGGUCGCAAUCCGCGGAGACGCCACGCACUUCGUCGCCGAUCUUCGUGAUGGCACGUUUGCUCGUGGCGCCGACGUUCCAGCCACUGCCUGCCAUUGUGCGCGUCACUUGGCCCGCGGAAGACUCGACGCCUUCCGCGUCUUCAAACUCCAUGGCCGCCAAGUCGUUCGCGCCCUUGACAACCUUGUGAACCCAGCGCGCGUUGGCCAGCUCUGCGAGGUGGUUGUGAAACGACGUGUCCGCGUAGAGCGGGAAAGAAGGCGACGUCAAGCUCGUGUACUUGAGAUCGCCGUCGACGUAGAACUCAAUCGCGCCCGCGUCGUUCACGAUCACUUGGAAAGUCUCACCCGCGACGAAGACGCCGGCAUCGAACUUGUUCACGCCCUUCUCUUGGAAUCGGACCUGAUUGCCGUUGCAGAACACGGCGUAGUCGAUGGUCGUUUGGCUGUGGCCCGAGGGCGUGCUCGACAAGCCAAACUGCAAGUGCCUGUUGUCGGUGCGCAUGCAGUCGCCGGAAAUGCCGCGAACCUCGUCGCCGACUUUCGUGAUGGCGCGCGCGCUGUACGCACCUCUUGCCCAGUUGUUCCCGCCUUGAGUACGUUUGAGGUAGCCCUGUUUGCCGUCCGUCGUCAUGCCCUGCGAAAGUCCGACCCACUCGAUGAGAUCGAGAUCCCGUGAACCUUUAUGAACAACUUUUAUCCACUUCACAUUUUCGAGGUGUCCUCCACCUUCAUCAACGUAUCCAUCGGCAAACAAUGGGAAGAUCGGUUCUCUGCUACUAUUGUAGACAGAAUGUCCUUCUUUAUAAUAGUGAACGAUACCCUCGUCAUUAAAUGCGACCUGGAACGUUUCUCCCGCGAGGUAUGUUCCGAUCGUGGCCAUAAGCUCACCGUCUUCGUAAACUUCCAUUGUUCCGGCAUUGCAACCAACGGCAUACUCAAUAGCAUCGCCAUCCGAGGGUGUGUAAUGAGCGCUGCUCAAACCGAAUAUCAUUUUCGUUGUUGUGUCACUGCAAUCCGCAGAAAUACCGCGAACUUCGUCAUAAAUUUUAGUUACGGCGCGUUUACUUGUCGAGCGCACAAUGUCCAUUUUUUCAGGUGUAACCGGCAAGUACACGUCGCCGUGUGACACUUCACAUCGCUGGACUGUUUCAAAGUCCAUCAUGUUUAGCCAAUGCAUGUGGCUUAGCUUCGCACCUUCGGUGAAGAUUCGAGCCUGGGAGUAAAGAGGGAAUUCAACACUUUUAGUGCUGACAUGAAGAACAUUACCAUUUUGCAGAUACUCGAUGACACCAUGCUCGUUGAUGACGAUAGAAAAUGUCUCUCCAGGGCUGUACGCCGAAGGAGGCUCGACAAUGCGCUCGUGCCUUUGGAAGGCUGACGCAUUGUGUUGGUCAUUUAUGUAUUCGGGUGAAUCACUAUCCAAUGAAUCAAGUGCCAAGUCUGGCGAAGUACCAAGAUGUGUUGAAGGCGGUGGACCUUGAGCAUCGUUCUCCGGGGUCGGGACUUGAAGUUGGCCUUCAAUCCCAUGUGGUGUAUUCGGCUCGGGACGUCGAUGUGGCUCGAUUGUUUUGAUGACAACUCCAUCUUCAAGGAGACGCAACGUUCCGGCAUCACAGUAUAUCGCAAAGGACAGGUUCGUCUGCGCCGGAGCAGUAGCGGUUUCAUUCGCAGCGGUUUCAUUCAACUGAGCAUCUUGAUCACCUUGCACCAUGAGUCCAAACAUCAUCUGUGACUUGUUGUCGGAACAAUCGGCAGACACGCCUUUUUUGGUGUCAUUCCAACCGCGAAUUGAUGAACGACUCGUUGCGAAAGCAAGUAAUGAAGCUUCUUCGAUGCGUUUUGCCGCCUCUUCACUCAACACGUGAGCGAGAGAUCCAGGUGUAAGAGUCGCAUUCUCAGGUAGAAGGAACUCAACAGGCUCAAGGUCAUCGGCACCUUCAAUGAUUCGGUAAACCCAGCGCGCGUUGGCCAGCUCUGCGAGGUGGUUGUGAAACGACGUGUCGGCGUAGAGCGGGAAAGAAGGCGACGUCAAGCUCGUGUACUUGAGAUCGCCGUCGACGUAGAACUCAAUCGCGCCCGCGUCGUUCACGAUCACUUGGAAAGUCUCACCCGCGACGAAGACGCCGGCAUCGAACUUGUUCACGCCCUUCUCUUGGAAUCGGACCUGAUUGCCGUUGCAGAACACGGCGUAGUCGAUGGUCGUUUGGCUGUGGCCCGAGGGCGUGCUCGACAAGCCAAACUGCAAGUGCCUGUUGUCGGUGCGCAUGCAGUCGCCGGAAAUGCCGCGAAUCUCGUCGCCGACUUUCGUGAUGGCGCGCGCGCUGUACGCGCCUCUUGCCCAGUUGUUCCCGCCUUGAGUACGUUUGAGGUAGCCCUGUUUGCCGUCCGUCGUCAUGCCCUGCGAAAGUCCGACCCACUCGAUGAGAUCCAAGUCGUUCGCACCCUCGUGGACAGUCUGUAUCCAGGAGACUCGAGAGAAAGACGCGCCUGCAGUGUUGAAGCGCGCGGUGGCGUAGAGCGGGAAGGCAGGCGCCUCAUCAGACGUCGCAAACGCCGCGCCAUCCUUGUAGUACGUGACGACGCCCGAGUCGAGCACGACCACUUGGAACGUCUCACCGACGAAGUAAUCGCCAAAGUCGCCGUCGCGCACGACGCCGUGUUCGGAGAUGCGGAUCACGCCGUUGUCGCACACAAUGCCGAAGUCGACCACCUCGUCGACGGAGUUCGUCGAGCCAGAGUUCAAGCCAAUCAUCAUGGACUUGUCCGUUUGGUCGCAAUCCGCGGAGACGCCACGCACUUCGUCGCCGAUCUUCGUGAUGGCACGUUUGCUCGUGGCGCCGACGUUCCAGCCACUGCCUGCCAUUGUGCGCGUCACUUGGCCCGCGGAAGACUCGACGCCUUCCGCGUCUUCAAACUCCAUGGCCGCCAAGUCGUUCGCGCCCUUGACAACCUUGUGAACCCAGCGCGCGUUGGCCAGCUCUGCGAGGUGGUUGUGAAACGACGUGUCCGCGUAGAGCGGGAAAGAAGGCGACGUCAAGCUCGUGUACUUGAGAUCGCCGUCGACGUAGAACUCAAUCGCGCCCGCGUCGUUCACGAUCACUUGGAAAGUCUCACCCGCGACGAAGACGCCGGCAUCGAACUUGUUCACGCCCUUCUCUUGGAAUCGGACCUGAUUGCCGUUGCAGAACACGGCGUAGUCGAUGGUCGUUUGGCUGUGGCCCGAGGGCGUGCUCGACAAGCCAAACUGCAAGUGCCUGUUGUCGGUGCGCAUGCAGUCGCCGGAAAUGCCGCGAAUCUCGUCGCCGACUUUCGUGAUGGCGCGCGCGCUGUACGCGCCUCUUGCCCAGUUGUUCCCGCCUUGAGUACGUUUGAGGUAGCCCUGUUUGCCGUCCGUCGUCAUGCCCUGCGAAAGUCCGACCCACUCGAUGAGAUCCAAGUCGUUCGCACCCUCGUGGACAGUCUGUAUCCAGGAG